UACGUAGGGGGCUAGCGUUGUCCGGAAUCAUUGGGCGUAAAGAGCGUGUAGGCUGCUCGGUAAGUCCGCUGUAAAAGUCAAAGGCUCAACCUUUGAAUGUCAGUGGAUACUGCCGGGCUAGAGUCCGGAAGAGGCGAGUGGAACUCCUGGUGUAGCGGUGGAAUGCGCAGAUAUCGGGAGGAACACCAGUGGCGAAGGCGGCUUUCUGGUCUGCUCUUGACGCUGAGGCGCGAAAGCUAGGGUAGCAAACGGG
rnacentral:rRNA from 1 species